rnacentral:rRNA from 1 species
UUUAAUUCGAAGCAACGCGAAGAACCUUACCAGGUCUUGACAUCCUCUGACAAUCCUAGAGAUAGGACGUCCCCUUCGGGGGCAGAGUGACAGGUGGUGCAUGGUUGUCGUCAGCUCGUGUCGUGAGAUGUUGGGUUAAGUCCCGCAACGAGCGCAACCCUUGAUCUUAGUUGCCAGCAUUCAGUUGGGCACUCUAAGGUGACUGCCGGUGACAAACCGGAGGAAGGUGGGGAUGACGUCAAAUCAUCAUGCCCCUUAUGACCUGGGCUACACACGUGCUACAAUGGACAGAACAAAGGGCAGCGAAACCGCGAGGUUAAGCCAAUCCCACAAAUCUGUUCUCAGUUCGGAUCGCAGUCUGCAACUCGACUGCGUGAAGCUGGAAUCGCUAGUGAUCGCGGAUCGCAUGCCG